rnacentral:rRNA from 1 species
UACGAAGGGGGCUAGCGUUGCUCGGAAUCACUGGGCGUAAAGGGUGCGUAGGCGGGUCUUAAGUCAGGGGUGAAAUCCUGGAGCUCAACUCCAGAACCUGCCUUUGAUACUGAAGAUCUUGAGUUCGGGAGAGGUGAGUGGAACUGCGAGUGUAGAGGUGAAAUUCGUAGAUAUUCGCAAGAACACCAGUGGCGAAGGCGGCUCACUGGCCCGAUACUGACGCUGAGGCACGAAAGCGUGGGGAGCAAACAGG